rnacentral:rRNA from 1 species
GAGCGAGCAGAACCAGCAGAUUUACUUCGGUAAUGAUGCUGGGGACGCGAGCGGCGGAUGGGUGAGUAACACGUGGGGAACCUGCCCCAUAGUCUGGGAUACCACUUGGAAACAGGUGCUAAUACCGGAUAAGAAAGCAGAUCGCAUGAUCAGCUUAUAAAAGACGGCGUAAGCUGUCGCUAUGGGAUGGCCCCGCGGUGCAUUAGCUAGUUGGCAAGGUAACGGCUUACCAAGGCAAUGAUGCAUAGCCGAGUUGAGAGACUGAUCGGCCACAUUGGGACUGAGACACGGCCCAAACUCCUACGGGAGGCAGCAGUAGGGAAUCUUCCACAAUGGACGCAAGUCUGAUGGAGCAACGCCGCGUGAGUGAAGAAGGUUUUCGGAUCGUAAAGCUCUGUUGUUGGUGAAGAAGGAUAGAGGUAGUAACUGGCCUUUAUUUGACGGUAAUCAACCAGAAAGUCACGGCUAACUACGUGCCAGCAGCCGCGGUAAUACGUAGGUGGCAAGCGUUGUCCGGAUUUAUUGGGCGUAAAGCGAGCGCAGGCGGAAGAAUAAGUCUGAUGUGAAAGCCCUCGGCUUAACCGAGGAACUGCAUCGGAAA